rnacentral:piRNA from 1 species
UUGGAAUGAGACCACUUGGACUGGUGUA